rnacentral:lncRNA from 1 species
GUUCGUGCGCUUCCGCGCUCCCCGCCCGGGGAGGUCGUCUCGGCUCGGUGUCGUUCACGCCGCGGGCUGGACGGCUCUGCGGAACCGCCCGUAGUUGCGGUUAUCCGUCAGAUCGAACGGGUUAACCGCGUUCUCUUCCCAGUUCGCGUCGCGGCGGAACCGCCCGUAGUUGUUGUUGUCCGCAAGGUCGAACGGGUUGAACGCCUUCUCUUCCCAGUUGGCGUCGCGGCGGAAUCGACCGAAGUUGUUGUUGUCCGCGAGCGAAAACGGGUUCUUCCAGUCGAAACCCGACACGGGGGCCAUGUCUUCGGCGGCGGCGACGUCGGUCUCUUUCGCGCCGCGGCGGAACCGUCCGUAGUUGUUGUUGUUCUCGAGGUCGAACGGGUUGAACGCCUUCUCUUCCCAGUCCGCGUCGCGGCGGAACCGUCCGAAGUUGUUGUUGUCCGCGAGCGAGAACGGGUUCUUCAGAACGAAACCCGACACGGGGGCCAUGUCUUUGGCGGCGGUUUGCGGCUUCUCGCGGCGGAACCGCCCGACGUUCGCCUUCUGCGUCACCUGCCUCAGCGCCGCCGGGUCGCCUUUAACGAACCCGUCGUGCGAAAACUCGAGGCGCGCGUCGUCGUCGUUGCCGAGCUUGUGGAACCCGUAAUUGUUCAGCUCACGCUUGAAUCCGUUGAUGUUGACGCGCGCGGGGAACACCGGGAGGACGCCGACGAGCUUCUUCUCGAACGCUUUCGCGUCCUUGACGACGAAGGAUUUGCCGUCUUUGUUCCAGGAGACGACGUCGGACGCGGACGGGUCGCUCACGAGCGUGUGAAGCUUCCUGCGACGGCGACGGAAAGAUGUUUCGGAGGGUGAGAAAAAAAAAACACGUGGUCGUCGACGUGCCUGUCGACGUCAACGGGUUGCCUAGGCGCCAGAGACGCCGCGGACGCGCGCGUUCGCGACGGAUAUCGUCGCCGAGCGCGUCGAGUCGCGAGCGGCGCGCGCGAUUCGACGAACGCCGCGUCGCGCGCGACGCGCGCGACGCGCGCGCGAGGCGUCGCGCGCGCCGAAAGUCGCGUCCGACUGCCGACGGCGCCGAGCGACGCGUCUACGUCAUCGGCCCGGUUGCCCAGGUGCCAAAGACGCCGCGGAGGCGCGAGUUCGCGACGGAUAUCGUCGCCGCGCGCGUCCCAUCGCGAGCGACGCGCGCGAUUCGACGAACGCCGCGCCGCGAGCGACGCGAGCGACGCGCGCGCGCGGCGUCGCGCGCGCAGAAAGUCGCGCGCGAUCGCGAAAGACGCGACGUUUCGACGGCACGGGCCGGGCACGUAAGUUAGUGCGGGGAGAAUCGAGGAUCGAGGGGGAGCGCGCACAUUAUGAACGGCGACACCUUGACGCGAUCGAACGCGUAAGGGUUGCACGAAGGGCGGCGAGCGUGAAGGUGCGUGGGGGCCAUCGUUUGUGGAGUGUCGUGUGCGUGCGUGAGGUGGUCGGGCGUGCUGUAGUGCGCGAUGGGUGCGUGUGUUUUCAGGACUUAAACGUCCCGCGAAAAUUGAAACGCCGAGACUUCGCGCCAAGUUUACGAAAGGGCACGGUGCUGAAAGGUGCCCACGAACCGUCGCGAAAAAAUCGUAUGCGCGUCAGUCUGAAAUUAAUACGUGCCUUCGCCGUUCGCGUGCCUCCCACGAAUUCAAGGCGCCGUCCACGGUGGCAAGCACGCCGUGCCGUUACUCUCCCGACGACACUUAUCCGCGCGCGCGUGCCCGCACAGACACGCACACGCACACACUCCGCGAUGGCCGUCUUCCUCGCCGCUCCCGCGUCGCGCGCGUGCGCGACGCGACGAGUCCUCGCGCGAAGCGCGUCCGCGACGGCGACGCGCGCGCGCGCGGCGCCGCGCGUCGCCGCGCGUCGCGAAGUGAGAUCGUCGUCGUCCGCGAGCGCGCGCGGCACCGCAGAUCUUCUCGGGUUCGGGUUCGCGCGCGCGGCGUCCGCCGGACGCGUCGCGCGCUCGUCCGCCGCGGAGACCUCCGGCGACGCGGAGACCUCCGGCGUCGUCCUCCUCGACCCUCCUCCCGCGCCCGCGCCCGUGCCCGCGCCCGCGGCGGCGCCGGCGGCGACGACGACGACGCCGCCCGUCGACGCGUCGCAAACGUCGCUUCGACGCGUCGCGCGACACGUCCACCGCGAGGCGGAGUACGUCUUCGUUCGAUUCUCGCUCCUCGCGACCGGCGCGUUCGUCCUCAUCGGCGUCUGCGCGUCGCUCGCGCUGUCCGCGCUGCUGUUCAGCAUGGGCGUCAAGGAGGUGCUCUACGAAGCCGUGGGCGCGUGGAUGCAAUUCUCGCCGGUGGGGCUCGGUGCGUUCUAUCUCACACUGGUUCCCAUACGACCGCGUCGGCGUGGUGAACGCCGUUCCUUAAGGACUUUUCCCGGCGUCUCUCUCCGCCCAGGGUCCCUCGCUUUCAAUACCCGACCGCGACGCCUUUCAACUAUUACUGACGCCUUUCAACUCCACCCCGACGUCGCGAGAAUAGUCACCGCCGCCGUCGGCGCGCUCGACCGCUUCCUCCUCGGCAUGGUCUGCCUCGUCUUCGGCCUCGGAAGCUUCGAGCUGUUCUUAGCGCGAAGCUCGAGGAAGGAAGAGCAGCAGCUCGCGAAGCGCGUGAACAAGCCGCUGUGGCUGAGAGUGCGGAGCAUAGACGACUUGGAGCACAAGGUUGGCGAGAUCAUCGUCGCGGUGAUGGUCGUCAACCUGCUCGAGAUGUCGCUGCACAUGACGUACUCCAAGCCCGUGGAUUUGGUGUGGGCCGCGCUCGCGGCGUUGGCGUCCGCGGGCGCGCUCGCGCUCCUGCACUGGAGCUCGGAGAAUCACUGCGGGAAGGACGACGACGCGCCCUGCGCGGUGCACUGAGUCGUCCUCUCGCCGCCGUUUGUAGACGCGUGCGCGCGUUCGUUUGUAAUUUCAAUUUUCAAGUCUACCGAAAAAACCGUUUUGCGUUUGCUGCUAUUUUAGGCUACUACUCCUCGUGAGCACCUCACGCGUCCGCGGCGAGGAGGUGCGGUCUGGCGCACUUCAACACGAUGACACGCCCUGCGCGGUGCACUGAGUCGUCCUCUCGCCGCGAGAGCAUCGAAUCGUAUGCGGCGGCGGCGGCUACGCGCUCCUGUUACGAAAGUACUCCUGAAUGUGCUCGCGGACCAGCGCGGCCGCGGCGGCGACUUGCUCGGGGGCGCCCUCGAUGACGCAGACGCCCUGCGAGUCGUUCAACACGCGAAUGGACGCGCCCGUGCGCUCGCGCAACGAGCGGAUGUUGUUACCGCCCUUUCCGAUGAGCCGCGACUCCGCGCCGGCACACGGGAUGGUCUCCCUCGCGACGCCGACGACGGAGCCGGCGGCCGCGCGGUCCGCCCCAGGCGGGGCGCCCAUCACCGCGACCUGCGAGAUGAUCUCGCGAAUGGCAGCGGCGGCGCCCUGCGCGCCGGGUCCGAUGACCUCCGUGACGCCGUGCCCGCGCUUGAGUUGGAUGCACACGCCGAACCUAUCCUGCAAGUCGCGGAUCGUCCCGCCGCCGUGGCCGAUGAUCAUUCCCUCGUGCCCCGCGGUGCCCUCGACGAUGACGACGUCGUUCGCCCCGCCGCCCGCGGCGGCGGCGGAUUGCGCCGCCGCCGCCGCGGGUUCCGCGCCCGCCGGCGCGCCGCGCGCCGGCUGCUUCGCCGGGCGCUCGUCUUCACCUGGUCCCGCGUUCCCGCGCUCUCCCUCUUCCGCGUACGCCGUGUACUUCGCCGCGCUGCCGCGGCACCGAUCCGCGGGGUACUUGGCCGCGUUCUUCGCCAUCUUCGCGCGCGUCGCCGCCGCGAGGUCGACGCCGCACCGAUCCGCGAGGCGCACCAAGUACAGCUGCACGUCCGCGAGCUCGUCCUCGAGCCGCGCUCUGUCCUCGCGCGACCAGCUCGGCAGCCCCGUCGCGCAGUCGUCGUCGCCGCGCCACUGGAACAGCUCCGACACCUCGCCGACCUCGCCGACCAUGGCGAGGAGGACGUUGCGAGGCGAGUGGAACUGAUCCCAGUCGCGCGCGCGCGCGAACGACGCCUGUUCGCGCCUCAGAUCCUCCAGCGUGACGCGCGCGUCGAAGCCGCCGAACGCGGGAGGCGACGGUCGCGCGGCGGCGUCGGCGUCGGCGUCGGCGUCGAACCGCGCGCUGAGCGUCGCGUCGCUUCGGGAUUCGGAGAGCGUCGUCGUCUUGGAACGCAGUUCGAUCGGUUUGUUUCGGCUCUUGUUCACGCGGAUCGGCGGAGGGACGUGCGGCGCGGGAUCGUCGACGUUCCUCGGCGCGUCCGCGUGGCCGUUGCUCCUGACGUCGAAUAUCAUCUUCAUGUGUUUCACGCCGGCGGCGAGGAGGAUGUCGGGGCAUUCCUUCGCGAGAGCGUCCACUUUGCUUCCGGCGCCGUACCAGUCGUGGAGGGUAAGCUUCGACUCGGGGUGCGUUCGGUACAACUCGGAGAUCACGAGGCUCGCGAGCGUGCCGCACGAGCCGGUCAUGUCCGCGAUGGCGUUCGCGUAAUACCGCGGAUCAAUAUAUCGCGGAGGAAUAUUCUCGUACCCUUUAGCCAUCGUGGCUCACCUCUCUCGCGCGCGGGAGUGUUCGCCCGUGCCUCAGAUCUGGAAAAGCGGGUGCCAAAAAAUACUGUAUUUUUAGUAACAGGCUCGCGCCGCGCGUGCGCCACCGUCCUCCUAUCGCAUCGUCCAUCCACCGUGCCUUGAUCCAUCACAUCGCCCUGUACGCCGCCAGGACGUCCUCCACGCGCCCGAACGCCUCGUCGAACUCGCCCUCGCCGACGCCGUGCUCCGCGUACUGAUGCAGAUACGCGCCCGCGUGCUUCAUCUGAGGGCCGUUCCAUACGAAACAGAUGGUUCAUCGGUCAGUUGAAAGGUGGCGCGAUCAAAUGUUGAAACCGAGCGGUGGGUGAAAAACGUUUUUUUUUAACCUGAUACGCCCUCGCGAGCAUCCGCCCGAUCGGCGGACACGCGCUCUGGCAGUUGCUCAGCAGCGUCAACGACGCGUCGUACCCGCAGAAUCGCGCCCCAGAGUGCGAUACAGACAGCGGCGACGGCGUCCACGUUGGGAACAGCCGCGGGUCGGACAACGCGCCGACGUCCGCGUCCUCCGCGCCCUUCCCUCUUAGAAACGCCAUCGCGGCGAGGCACCUCGUGACGACGCGCCCGCCGCCGUCGCCGCCGGGCUCCACCCCCCAGUCUAACCCUUCCUCCAACGUCGUCCCCGUGAGUAACAUCUGCCGCGCGCGCUUGAUCAGCCCGGGCCACGCGAACGUCGUGAAGUCCACGCUCGUCUGCGGCAUCAUCGGCACGGACCGCAGCGACAGAAGACGCAUCGUCGGGUCGCAGCACGCCCCGCGCGAAACGUCGUGGAGCAGCAUCAGCUUCCGUCCGCAUCCCGCGCCGCCCGCGGGUGUUACACCCCUCGCGACGCUCGGGAGUAACACCCCCGCGAGCUGCGUCGCGGCGACGCCGUUCAUGUCGUCGAACGUCGGCCGCUUAAUCUUCAGCGCGCCGACACACGCGCGAUGGAGCUGUUCGUUUUGCACGACGCACACGCCGUCCGACACGUUCAGCAGCGUCGAUAACGUCAACAGCGUGUUGUAGCACUGCACGAUGACCUCGCCGCUCUCGUACGGCCACACGCAGUGGUUCAGGAUCGUCGCGCCGCGGUGCUCGUCGCGGAUCGCCUCGGCGACGAACGCGCCGAGGCCGGCGCCGGUGCCGCCCGCGAGCGACUGCGUCAGGAGGAAUCCGCCGAGGUGGUCGCAUCGCUCCGCCUCGCGUCGAACGAGCUCCAGGGCUUCGUCGCGCACGAGGCCGCCGUAGGUGUUGUACCCGCGCGCCCAGUUGUUCCCGCUGCCGCUCUGGAACGCGAGCGCGCUGUUCGCGUCGUACCGCCAUCUGUGCGACGAGCGCCGCGCGCGCUUGAGCGACGACGCGAUGACUUUCGGUUCCAUGUCGAUCAACACCGCGCGCGCGGUGGGGGAGGAGGAGGAGGAGGAGGAGGAGGACGGCCUCGCCGCGCCGUCGCCGCUGCGGAAGAACGCCUGCGUGCGUGCGGUGGAAGAGAGAGAGAGAACGAGUGCGAGAGGUGAGAUGCGCGAGCGCGGGGGAUGGACGCGGAGGAGGAGAGCGCGGCGCCCGCGGGCGAGGAGAGAAGUCGGCAUCUUCUCUCUCGAGAGUGAGAGAGAGACGACGCGCGCGCGCACCUCGUGAAUCUCGUCGCGGACGCUCGGCGACGACGCCGCCGCCUCCCUCGCGAGCGUGUCGAACAGCUCGCAUCCGACCUGGUUUCCGCACUGCCCGAGCUGCACGGUCACGACCGAGCCGGGCAUCGUCCUCCGCCGCGACCCGUCCUCGACGCGCCGUCUGUGUGGUCGCGCCGCGGUUCAAACUCUGUCGUCCUCGACUCGUCGCUGAUGAAGGCGAGGUGCCGCGUCGUGCUGGCAUAUCGACCGACCAUUGAUCGAGGAGGGGUUCCGAUCAAAAAGUGCUGAAAGGGUUUUUUUAUCGCAAGAACCGAUCAAAAGCUGAACGCAGGUGAAAGAAAAUCCACCUUCUGGUCAGCGCUUCGUAGGAACGCGCCUCUCAUCACUCGUCGAUCGCGCCCCGACGCUCCGCCGCGCUCAUGGUGGACCCGACGCACGAGUACAACCACGACACGUGCCCCGCGUGCGCCGGCCACGGCCAGGUCGCGACGAGCGACGGCUUCGCCGCGUGCGCGUCGUGCAGCGGCAGAGGCGCGUGGGCCCCGCCCGCGUCGUGCUGCGCCGCGCACGACAAGGGCGGUAAUAAAGGAGGAUGCGAGACCGGGCACGGCGCGAGCGACGCGAAGCCCAAGCCGCGGCUGCGGUCGCACGGCGCGUUACCCGCGGCGAACAUGCGCGAGCUCCUGACGCGCGUCGACCUGGAGGACGAGGACGGGAACCUUCUCGACGCGGCGAGCGCGUUCGAGGGGAAAGUCGUCGCGCUCUACUUCUCGUCCGCGACGUGCCCGGCGUGCGCGAGCUUCACGCCGAAGCUCGCGCGGCUCGCGACGGAUCACGCGCGCGACCUCGUCGUCGUGUACGUCGGCGGCGAUCGCACGGAGGCGCAGGCGGAGGGGCCGCACACGCGGGGGCGCGGGUUCCUGCGCGUGCCGUGGCGAUCGGUGCAUCGCGAGGUGUUGCUUCAAUCCUACCGCGUGUUCGCGAUACCGCAGGUGGUGGUCUAUCACCCCGUGCGGCAGAAGACGGUGACGACGUGGGGGCACACCGCGAUCAGGCGCGUUCUGUUCUUCUGUGCCGCGCUCGCCGGUCCUCGAGGACUUUAUUACUUCCCGGCUCGCCGGUCCUCGAGGACUUUAUUACUUCCCGGCUUCGUUUUCUCUCCGCGCAUGCACCCCUCGGUUUCGAUCCCGACGCACACGCCUCGGCGCCUCACGACUCCACCAUUCACGAUUCAUUCACGACAUUCACCUCACGACUCCACCGUUCUGACGCGCCCCCGAACUCCACCCCGACCUCGUCGCUUCGUACUAUGGACCCUCCCUGACCCUCAGCGUGAACCCGGGGAAGUGCGUCAGCGCGUGGAAGAGAGGAGAGACCGGUUACUCGUUGCUGGAGAUGCUCACGCCGAGCUCGUGUUCCGGCGCGUACGACGGCGUGCCCAGCGUCGUCUCCUCGCAGUCGACCGGAUACGCGAAGUGAUAUACUUUAACAUAUGAUACUAUGAUAUAUGUUAUACUAUAUGAUAUAUGUUAUGAUAGUUACCCUCUCGCGUACGUCCCCGGGGCGUCGUCCCGCGGCGGGUUCGCCUCCGUCGGCGACCCGUCGAUCUGCCGAAUGGCUUCGUACACGCCGACGCCCGCGCUCACCGCCAGGUUUAAACUCCGGACGUGGUCCUCGUCUAUGGGUAUCCGGCGUAUGCCCCCGCUCCGCGCGCACGCGUCGUGCGCCUCGUCCGGUAACCCCGUGGUCUCCGCGCCGAAGAGGAGCCAAUCGCCGGGGAGGUACGCGCCCUCUUCCGCGUGCGGCCGGGCGCCGAAUUUGCUGAGGGUCGAGGUCGGGGUGGAGUUCAAAGGCGUCAGGGGUGGAGUUGAAAGGCGUCGAGGUGUGUCGGGAUCGAAAGCAGCGAGGGGGUGGGCGGAGAGAGACGAACGCCGGGAGAGAAAGUCCUCAAGGAAUCGCAUGCACCGCGCCGACGCGGUCGUAUGGGGACCAGCGUGAUGGACACAGAACGCGCCUGAACGCGACCAGACGACCGGGGGCCCCGAGGUCGACGGACCAGUACGCGUAGAACGCGUCCCAGUCGUCGUGCACGCGCACGCACACGCUGUGCCUGCGACGGGCGGGAGGAGAUGGACGAUGAGCGGGAUGGACGGAGGGGCGCGACGGCGACGGGGAGGGGGGAGCGCGUAUCGAUCGAUAGAUCAAUCGGUCGAUCGGUCGGUCUAUCGAUCGGUCGAACGCACCAGUAGUCGAGCCCCGCGCGCUUGAGCUGGCUGUCCUCUAACGUGAACCCUAACGGCCCGACUAAGUGCAGCGGCACGCGCGACGCCGCGCACGUCCGCGCGAUCGUCCCGGUGUUCCCCGGGAUCUGCGGCGAGACGAGCACGACCGCGAGGUCCGCGCGCUGAUUUUCCGCCGCGAGCUCGACGCCGUCGCGGCUCUUUCCGGCGAAGAGGUUCGCCGCGCCGCUCCCGCUCGACGCGCGCGGCGUCGUCGCGUUCGCAUCGCGCGGCGCGGGAGUCGCGCGGUGACGCUUCGCGAGGAGCGCGUUGAACGCGCGCGGGAGGACGAGGUACGGCAUCGCGCGCGGCGUGCGGUGCGGUGCGCUCGCUCAUUCAUACACCGUUGCCCUAAGCUCACGAAACCCCCGAGACUCGACUCGUCCGCGUCCGCCAGCUGUACAACGUUGUACUCAUACUCCGCUCGCUCACGGCGUCCGCGGCGGGGUCUUCGGCCGCGCCGUCGCCGGUCUCGGGCUCGCCAUCGCCGCGAGCGCCGCCCUCGCGGCCCUUUCCGCGAUGCUCCUCCCUCUCCCCGGCGGCGCGACGGUCGAGCUCUGGUCUUCCCGUCCCCCCUCGCCGCGUCGCCGUCGCGCCCACGCCGCCGCCGCCGCUUUCUUCACCGAACCGCCCCCUCCCCCGCCGCCGCCGUCGCCCUCCGCGUUCUCCUUCUCCGCGCCGCGCCGUCGUCCUCGUCCGCGCGGCGUCGGCGUCGGCGGCGAAUAGCGCUCCCGCGGCGUCUCCCCCGCGCCGAGUAACGCUCGGUUCGCGCGCGUUCGCAUCGCCGCUCGGUACGCGCGCGUCGCCGCCGCCUCCACGGUUGCGUCCACCUUCGCGCGCGCGCGCGCCGCGCUCGCGCUCGUCGUCGCGGCGUCCGGCGCCGGCGCCUUCGUCCGCGUCGUCGCGCUCGCCGCGCGCGUCUUCACCGGCGUCGCGAAGAUCUCGCGCGAGGGCGACGUCACGACGAGCACCGCGUCCGUCGCGUCGUCGUCGUCCUCCUCCUCCUCCUCCGACUCCGCGUCGAAGAGACGCGUCGCUCGCGAUGUUGACGAGAACAGCAACGACGCCGCGGCGGCUUCCUUCUCCGCGGUCGCCUCGAGCGCGACGUGCUCGAACAUCUCCGCCGCGCUCGGUCGCGACGGCGGCGGCGACGGCGACGCGACGGGCGCGGCGUUCGCCGCGCGGCGCGCGCACGGCUGACAUCGCGUCUGAGCCGUGGUCGUCGUCGUGGCCAUCAUCACGGCGAGCUCGUGCCUCAGCGACUCGUUCUCGUCUCGCAGCGCCGCGACCUCCGCCUCCGCGGUCUUCGCUCGGAGGAGCGCCGCUCGCAGCCUCGCCUCGGGGGUGUCUUCGAACGCGAACGACGACGCGAGCGCGGCGGCCGCGCGCGGCAUCGUCGCGUCGUCGUGCCUCCCCCCGUCGCGCCAGAUGGAGUGCGGCGCCGCGCCGCGCGAAAUGCCACGCCAGCGCAGCGCAGCAGCGCGACGAGCUGCUUCGGAGUUUGAAAGGCUCGCUCGUUUGGGCGGAGGAAAGAGACGCGCCGCGCGCACUUCAUAACGCGCGAGAGGACGGCCUGAUCGUCGCUUCGCGCCGCCAUGAAGCUCGAUUUCAGCGUCCUGGACGCGCCGACGCGGAAGAUCGACGCGGAGAUCGCGGAGUGGUGCGUCCCCGCGCGCGAUCCCGCGCGCCUCGUCGCCUUCGCGUCCGCCCAGCCCUGAGAUCUCGCGCCUCGAAGAGGCGACGACGACGACGACCGCGCGCUGACCUCGCGCCUCCCCACCCCCUCCGCAUCGCGCCCCCCAACCCUUCCCUCGAUCGCAGCGCCGCGGAGAUCAACUCCGACGUCCACGCGCAGAACUUCAAGCUCCCGAUGGUCGAGAACGUGCGUCGUCCCUCCCCCGAUCCCUCCCCAGCGCGCGCCUCGACGUCAUUUCUUAGGGUUGCCAACGGACGCCGCGCGCGAGAUCCGACGACCGAUCGCCGACCCCCCCCCGCCUCCAUCGAUCCUCCCCCCCAUCCCGCAGUACGACUCGUUCCAGCGCGAGGUCGUGGACUACGUCAAGCCCAACCACGGCACGACGACGCUCGGGUUCAUCUUCGAGCACGGCGUCGUCAUCGCGGUGGACUCGCGCGCGUCGCAGGGGCCGUACAUCUCGUCGCAGACGGUAAAGAAGGUGAUCGAGAUCAACCCGUACCUCCUCGGAACGAUGGCCGGCGGCGCCGCGGACUGCCAGUUCUGGCAGCGGAACCUCGGGAUCCAGUGCCGCCUCCACGAGCUCGAGAACGGCAAGCGCAUCAGCGUCUCCGGCGCGUCGAAGCUGCUGUCGAACACGCUUUACGGCUACCGCGGGCAAGGGCUGUCCAUGGGGACGAUGGUCGCCGGGUGGGAUCUCAACGGCCCGGGUCUGUACUACGUCGACAGCGACGGCACGCGGUUGAAAGGGAAGCGGUUCAGCGUCGGGUCCGGGUCGCUGUUCGCGUACGGCGUGUUGGACCAAGGGUACAGGUGGGAUCUGAGCGUCGAGGACGCGUGCGAGUUGGGGCGAAGGGCGAUCUACCACGCGACGUUUCGAGACGCGUUUUCCGGCGGCACGGUGAGCGUGUAUCACGUGGGGCCGGACGGGUGGACGAAGAUGUCCGGCACGGACGUCGGGGAGCUGCACUACGAGUACUACCCCGCGGAUCCGAUCGCGACGGAGGCGGAGGCGGAGGGAGGGGGGGAGGAGCCGGAGAGCAUGGAGACGUCCGAGCAGAAGUGAGGGUCGCGAGUGGAACGGCGGACGACGGCGGGGCUGUAACGAAACUCCUUAUUUCUCGGAACUGCCGCUCUCGUUUCUUCGACCACGACGCGCGUCCGUCGUUCGCACUGUGCCGCGCGCGCGAUUGGGACGAUACGAUGAUGACCUUGCUCUCGCGCGUCGCGGGCGUGAUGUUCUCCUCGCGCGAUUCCCUCCGCGACCACACGCCUAUCGCGCACCUCUCUCCGAAAACGCCCGAAGAAGAGCGUGCUCCUCCGAAGUCGCGAUACGUGGGCGUGGUCGCGGGCGCGUGGAAGAAAUCAAAAAAGACUUGGGUAGCUCAGCACGGCGGUGAGCUAGGGAGAUUCCCCACCGAGCUCGAAGCCGCGGAGGCGUAUUGCAAAGCACUGGGGUUUCCCGAACCUCUGCUUCGGGUGGAGGGCGAGUGCGGAAGAGCGACAGUAAAACGAGAGCGACUUAAAUACGAGCGGCCGUCUGACUACAAAGCUGCUCCCAAGUCGCGAUACGUAGGCGUAACCGCGAGUGGCAACUGGAAGACCGCGAAGAACAAGUGGCAGUCGACGUUCCGUGGUAAGUACGUGGGCACUUUCGCGACGGAGGAAGAGGCGGCUCAGGCGCACGCGGACGCGAAAGGCUGUCCGGGCCCGGUCCUUCGCGAAGGCGGCCUUCGCAAGCGCAAGAACCCCGACGACGCCGUUCUGGAAGCCGAGGAGGUCAAGGAGGUAGAAUCCGACGAUGAUGAUCGCGAUGAGGUCGUCAUCGUCGAGAAAUUCCCCGACGUCGGCACGCGCGUGAAGAAACGCUUCGGGUCCAAGUCCAGUCGCCGGUGGUGCGAGGGCGCGGUGACGAAAGUCGACGCCGGCGACGACGCGCCCGUGACGGUGACGUUCGACGACGGCGACGUCGAGCGGCUCACCGUCGCGCGGUACGAAUGCGAGUGCGUCGCGCUCCCGGCGUCGCGCACGAAGAAGCUGAAGUGCGUAUACUGUGCGCACGUCCUGUCGGUGACGUAUAAGGAGACCGAGCGCGACGACUUCACGUUCGAGUGUCCGUACGAAGGAUGCGGGAGACCGCUGCGCCUCCCUCGAAAGAAAGAGUGAAUGAAUAGUAAGGUCAGGGCUCGCGUCGUUAAUAAAGAUACGAACGAGACGAACACGACUACUUCUUCUCCUUCUUCGCCUUCUUGUCCUUCUUCGUCUUCUUCGCGUCGCGCGACCCCCCGGGCGACCGGCUCCUCGAUCGACUCCUCGACCCGCUCCGAUCUCGCGACCGCUUCCCCCCGCGGUCGCCCCUCCCGCCGCCGCCGCGAUCGCCGCCGCGAUCGAGCCCGUCCUCGAUCAGCUCGUCCAACAGCGCCUCGCCCUCCUCCAACGCCUCCCUCGCCUUCGCCUCCCUCGCCGCGAGCUUCGCCGUCCACUCCGCGAAGAUCGCCUCGCACUUCUCCGGAUACCCCGGCGCGCUCUGCCGCCCGUCCUCUGUCGCGUCGCGCCCGCGGACGGCGCGGAUCCAAUCGCGAUCCUCGCCCAGCGCCGCCUCCGCCUCCUCCCACGUCGUCGACCCUCGCACCUCCCUCCGCGCGCUCUUUAUGAGCCGCGCGAAGUCGUCGAGCGCCCUGGCCUCGCGCUUGGCGUCGACGCGCGCGCGCUCCUUCGCGCACGCGACCGCGUCCGCGCACGCGCGCGCGAGCGACGCCUCCGGAAGCGGAAGCGACGAUCCCGGGUGAGGUUGAUUCGUCAUCUUAUCGCGCACCGCGUCGGCGAGCGCCGCAACGUCCGUCUCCGCCGUGACCUCCAUCCCGCCGCACGCCACUCUCGCGGUCUCGAUCACGGCGUCGCGCUCCUUCGCGGCGUCCGCCUCGAGCUUCUCCUGCGCGUCCUCGUACAGCUCCUUCGGGCGGCUUCCGCUGAAGUUUUCGCACGCCGCGAUGUACCGCAAAUCGUCCGAAACCGACUUCGCGAAGGUCCGCCACGGCAUCCUCAGCGUGAUCAACCCCGCGCCGACGCGCUCGUCGAUCAUCUCAACAAACGCCUCGCGGUUCUUCCGUUCCGUCCGCAGCCGCUCGAUCCGUUCCGUCUCUCGGUCGUCCGCCUCUUUCUUCUCCAGCUCCUCCAUCAACGCGACGAACGUCUCGAGUCGGUCGACGCGAUCGCACGCGGGCGACCUCGGAUCGUUCGCGCACUGCUCGUGCACUUUCCUCCACACGCUCGUGACCUUCACGCCGCGCUCUACGAGAAGUUCGCGGUACGCCGCCGUCGUCUCUUUCCUCCGUAUCCGCCGCUCCUCGCGCUCGGUCGCGCGUUGGUCGUCGAGGAACUCGCGAAAUAAAUCCUCGCGGUCGCGCGGCGUCUUCACCGCGAGCCACCGCGCGUCCUCCACCAGGUCCUCCGCGAUGUCCUUCAGCCGCGUGCUCUGCGUCACCCACCCGAGCUCGUCCGCGCGCUCGCGCAGCAUGGUCUUGAACGCCUCGCGCGUCGCCUUCUCCGCGAGCCGUUUCUCCUCGCGGUCUUGCUUGGCCUUUUGCGUCUGCCACUCGUUGAAGCACUGUUUCUUUUCUCCGAGCGUCUUGAGCGCGCCGUAGCGUUCGUCUUGGAUGAUGAGGCGCAUCGCGUCCUCCCACUUCAUCCCCGCGGUCGCGUUCUUGUCGCUGAGGAGCUCCUUGAAGGCGUUCUUCGCUUCGUCUUUGUUCGCGUACGUUCGCGGCGCGGCGGACGGAGCGGCGGCGGCGGCUGCAGGAGCGGCGGCCGGAGCGGCCGGAACCGCCGAGCGACCGUUCGCCCUCGGCUUCGCGCCGCCGCCCCCGCCCCCCCCUCCCGCCGCGGCAGCCUUCACCGCCGCCUGCGCGAUCGCCGCCGCCUCCCGCACGACCCUGAGCUCGUCCGGGAUCUGCCACUUUGUCUCCUUCGUGUCCUUGUGGUAGUAGUACGACCGUCCGUCCGCGGCGACGUGCUCCCUCCAUCGCGUCGUCGCGUCCGCGCGCUCCGUCGGCGUCAUCAGCGCUUCCGGCUUCUCGUACGUGCUCUGCCGCGUGAGCGCGUUGAAGAAGUACUCGCGACCGUCCGCGCCGCGGUGGGCGGUCCAGUCCGCCGCGCCGGGCGCGGGCGCGGGCGCGGCGGGCGGGAUCGGCGGCGCGCCGACGCCCGCGGCGGAUCUGUUGGCGCCGGGCGGCCCGGGAGGCGUCGGGAGGGUCCCGGGGGGCGUUCCGCCGGGCGGCGGCGCGCCAGCCCCGGGCGCGGUCAUCCACGCCGGCAGCGUCGCGGCCCUACCGCGUCCGGCCAUGGCGCGAGGGCGCGUCGAACCCUCUUAGAUCUCACCGAGCGCGCCGCGGCCUCGGCGAUCGGAUCAGUGCCGCGAUAAUUCGCUUCGAUCGGCUUCCAGUCGUCCGUCUUCAAGUUUUGCUUUGUUCGUCGACUGACUCGUUGUACUGUAAUCCUUCUUAUCCGAAGUAAGAUUCGUAACGCGACUGCGACUGAUCGAACGAGCGCGUUUAAAUGUAAUAAUACAGUACGGCAUUCAUCUCCCCCUCCCCUAAGCGCAUGAUGCGGUUGUUGGGGGACUACUUCCUCUUCUCGGACCCCGCGCGCCUCCUCUUCGUCGUCUCCGCCUUCUCCUACGGCGUCUUCUUCUUCUUGCUCAGCGUCUCGGACCUCUUCUUCUGCGUCUCCGCCUUCUCCGCCACGGUCUUCUUGCUCAGCGUCUUGCUCAGCGUCGCGAGCAUCUUCUUCUUCGUCUCCGCCUUCUCCGCCACGGUCUUCUUGCUCAGCGUCUUGCUCAGCGACGCGAGCCUCUUCUUCUCCGUCGCCGCCUUCUCCGCGUCGGUCUUCUUGCUCAGCGUCUUGCUCAGCGUCGCGAGCAUCUUCUUCUUCGACGCCGCCUUCUCCGCGUCGGUCUUCUUGCUCAGGUUCUUGCUCCGCGACGCGAGCCUCUUCUUCUCCGACGCCGCCUUCUCCGCGUCGGUCUUCUUGCUCAGCGACGCGAGCCUCUUCUCCUCCGUCGCCGCCUUCUCCGCGUCGGUCUUCUUGCUCAGCGUCUCGAUAAACUUCUCCUUCGACGCCGCCUUCUCCGGGGCGGUCUUCUUGCUCACCGUCGCGAGCAUCUUCUCCUUCGACGCCGCCUUCUCCGCGGCGGUCUUCUUGCUCAGCGUCUCGAUCCUCUUCUCCUUCGACGCCGCCUUCUUUCUCUUCUUCAGUCCGCGCGUCCCCACCCCGGGCGCGUUCUUCGACUGGCCCGUCACCUUCCAGUACUGCUGCCCCUCCUUGAUCCUCUCGGAGAACCACGCCGCCAUCUCCGGCGUGAUCUCGAGCAGGCGGCCGUCCUCCAUGAACUUCGCCAAGAGCGUGUCGAAGGUGCCCUCCGGCCCGCCGAAGUGCACGAACAAGUCCGCCAUGCUUCGGAUGAAGCGCUCCGUGAGCCAUUGCGUCGACCUGAUGGACGUCGCCAAGCACAUGUGACCGGACUUGGUGUGGACAUCACCGUCCAGCUCGGGCCACAGGGCGCGCUCCGCGGGCAUAUCCGCAGGGCAGUGCUUCGCCAUCCAUUCGCGUGCCUGUGAACGGUCGGGGGAGGAAGGGGCGCGCGCGUCAGUCAGAAAACAAGAUCGGGGCGUUGCAGCGCAGCGUCGUCGAAAAAGUCGAGGGGCGUGGGAAAGAAGGAACUCACCGGCCGACCGAAGCCCCCCGCGCGUUCGGGCGUCCCGCAGGCGUUCAACGCCUCGACGAUCAAGUCCUCGAUCAACUUCCUCUCGCGCGUCUCGACGCCUUUCAAGAUGAUCUUGCCGGCGUCGUGACGCCCUGGCCAGGGAAUCAUGUUUGUCAUGAGAAACGAAGGCGCGCGAGCGCGACCGGCCGCGGGCGUGUCACCGAUGUGAACAAAAAACCAGUCCCAGACGUCGGAAACGAGCCGCUUCCCGUCGGCGCGGAGCUUUCGCAAGUUCCCGCGGAGUCCGAUCCCGUCGGUCUCGAAGUGCCCGAUGAUGACGUUGAACUCCUCCUUGAGGCCGCUCUCGUUCCACUCCGCGUCCUCGGGAAGAAGAAUCCGCCUGAAGUGCAGCUUGCGGCCGAGGAACUCGCCGAUGGCGUCGACGAGUUUCUCCAAGUCGCGCUGCGCGGCGUCGAACUUUUCCUUCGGAGAGAGCUUGCACGACGGAUCCGCGCGCGCUUCGAAGCGGUCGCGGAUGUCCUGGACCGUGGCAUUGAACUUCUUUUGCUUCGCGCUCGGUUCAACGACGCGCGUCCUGCCUUGCGCUCUCUUCCUAGCGACCAUGGUGGCCGAAGCGCGCCUGUGGACGAGCGGCGGAGGACGGACGUAUGGUGACGCGCGAAAAAAACGGCGAUGGCGAGAUUCGCGGAAAAGCGAUCGAGGCGCGGCGAGGGGAAGCCGCGCGCGCGUCGGCCGCGGUCGCGCGCGUCCGUCGCGCGCCCGACGGCGCCGCGCGCGCGCGCGCUUGGAUUCGACGCGGGGAAGGAGUCGAGCGCGCGCAACUGAGGGUGCGCGUGCCGCGGGGAGCGAACAGUGACGGACCGCGCGCGGAGCGGCGGUUCGGGCGACGAAAAAAAAGCUGUCAAGUUCGCGUUCAGUUCACAGUUCACAGCUGUACGUGUACACGUACACACUCGUCGCCCCGACGCGUCCUCCUCGUCAGUGUCUCGCCUAGGAUUGGAGUCGAAGCCGGAGACGUAUUACGCUCGCUAUUCCUAAAACGGGUUCGUCUUCGUGGACACCGGCGGCGCUUUCGCGACCGCCUUCGCCGUGACGUCCGCGAGAUGUCUGCCCUUGUGAUACAGCUCCGGGCACCACCGGCGCUUGUACUCGUCCCUCGCCUCGGUCUCCGCGUUGAACACCGCGUUGAGAAAAUCGUCGCGCGUCGUCCCCGGUCGCGCUUCCCAAAUCGCGCGAUUCCGACGCCGCGGCUUGAACACCGGCUCUUUCCUAUCCUCGAAGUCGCUCCUCCACAGGCUCCGCGUGGCGAGUUCGCCCUCCUCGCGAACCGACGCCCACCGCCCGAACCGCCGCGCGUCCAUGCGCGGGUUCCCAAACUCCGCGUCCCAGCGCGCGAGUUCAGUCUCGAGCUCCAACGCGAGCAGUUCCUCUUCCAGUUCGCGCUUAGGGCCAUUCCAUACAAGCGAACGUCGGGGUGGAGUUCAAACGCGUCAGUUGGAGUUGAAAGGCGGCGAGGGCGGGCGUUGAAAGCGAGGGGUGGGCGGAGAGAUGCGCCGGGAAAAGUCCUUAAGGAUCGGCGUUCACCACGCGGACGCGGUCGUAUGGGGACCAGUGUAUAGAACGCGCCUUAACGCGUCGUCGUCCAGCCGCGGCGACGCGAACGCCGCCGCGUCCACGUUGUGCAUCAGAAACGCUCCCCUCAGGUGCGUUAACCCGAACCGCUUCAGCGCGGCGAACACGGGGGCGUACUCCGAGAGCCCCGCGACGGAUUCCUCCGUGAGAUGCUCCGCGGUCUUCGAGCGCCACACGAGCUCGACGACGUUUGAUGAUUUUCCCGCGAGCUCGCGCUCGACCCAGUCGUGCGAUCCCCACACGUCCGUGAUGACCUCGCCGUUCGGCCCGCGUCGCGCGCUCAGGACGCAGUACGUCGCCGCGCACUUCCGCAUCGUCUCCGCCGCGCGCUUCGCGUGGGCGAUUACCUUGCGGUGCGUCGCCGCGCGCCACUCCCCGUCCGCGUUCGCGACGGCGAUCUGUCUGCGGCGCUUCUUCGCGCCGACGUUUCCCGCGACGUCGCGGCACGCGCAAUCGCAUCGCGCGUCGCGGCAGGUCGCGCUUCUCGGGUGGCGGUCGUGCCCGCACGCGACGCACGUCACCGACGUCGGCGGGCGUUUGCCGCCGCCGCCGCCGCCGCCGGCGGCGGCGGCGCUCGAGCUCGCCGGCGCUCGCAUGCGGCGCGCGGGGGCGAGUGAUGAAGAUACCUCGGCGUAAACAACGCGGUUUUCUCAGAAGAGCCGGCUCCGCUCCGCGCCGUCACGCAUUCGGCCGCCGCGCGAGCACGGCGUCCGCGCGCGGAACCCCGAGCGCGGCGUUCCCGCGCGCGAACGCUCCCGCGACGCCAUGGUCGUCCAGGUCCCGGUCAUGUCGCAAGGUACCCCCACACACACACCCCGGCGACGGACGUCGCGCCGCCGUCCCUCGACCCGCGCGCCGAAACCCGCCACCCAUCCAUCGGGUGCCCUCAUCCAGCGCCACCACCGCGAAAAGCGCCCUCGUCGACACGUCGACAUCUCGCGUCCACUCACCCUCUUCUCCUCCCCCCGCGUCCACUCACCCUCUUCCCCUCUUCUCCGCCUCCCCCCCCCCCCCCCCCCNNNNNNNNNNNNNNNNNNNNNNNNNNNNNNNNNNNNNNNNNNNNNNNNNNNNNNNNNNNNNNNNNNNNNNNNNNNNNNNNNNNNNNNNNNNNNNNNNNNNNNNNNNNNNNNNNNNNNNNNNNNNNNNNNNNNNNNNNNNNNNNNNNNNNNNNNNNNNNNNNNNNNNNNNNNNNNNNNNNNNNNNNNNNNNNNNNNNNNNNNNNNGGGGGGGGGUUUGCCGCCGCCGCCGCCGCCGCGGGGGGGGGGGGCGUUGGAGUUUGCGGGCGUUCGCAUGGGGCGCGGGGGGGGGAGUAAAAAAAAUACCUGGGGGUAAACAACGGGGUUUUUUCAGAAGAGCGGGUUCCGUUUGGGGCGGUAAGGCAUUGGGCCGCCGGGGGAGCAGGGGGUCCGCGCGGGGAACCCCGAGGGGGGGGUUCCCGGGGGGGAAGGCUCCCGGGACGCCAGGGUUGUCCAGGUCCGGGUAAUGUCGCAAGGUACCCCCACACACACACCCCGGGGAGGGAGGUGGGGCCGCCGUCCCUGGACCCGGGGGCGGAAACCCGCCACCCAUCCAUGGGGGGCCUUAAUCAAGGGCCACCACCGGGAAAAGGCCCUUGGUGGAAAGGUGGAAAUUUGGGGUCCACUCCCCUUUUUUUCCUCCCCCGGGGUCCACCCCCCUUUUUCCCUUUUUUUCGGCUUCCCCCCCCCCCCCCCCCCCCCGCAGAGGAAGCGCGCGUGCGCGCCAUCACGGACGUCGUCCAGCAGAUGAUCGCGUCCGUGAAGUCCGGCAAGGUGAUGAACCUCAACGCCGUCAAGAACGCGGCCGCGCGGAAAUACGGCCUGCGCCGAUCGCCCAAGCUCGUCGAGCUCAUCAGCGCGGUCCCGGACGAGCACCGCGACGCGCUCCUCCCGGCGCUGCGCGCGAAGCCGGUGCGGACCGCGAGCGGGAUCGCGGUCGUCGCGGUGAUGUCCAAGCCGCAUCGGUGCCCGCACAUCGCGACCACGGGGAACAUAUGCGUCUACUGCCCGGGAGGGCCGGAUUCCGAUUUCGAGUACUCCACGCAGUCGUACACAGGGUACGAGCCGACGUCCAUGCGCGCGAUUCGCGCGCGGUACGACCCGUACGUCCAAGCGCGCGGGCGCGUGGAUCAGCUGCGGAAGCUCGGGCACAGCGUGGACAAGGUGGAGUACAUCCUCAUGGGCGGGACGUUCAUGAGCUUGCCCGCGGAGGUGCGUUCUAUACAAACGUUUUUCACCCAUCGCUCGGUUUCAACACUUGAUCGCGUGGGUCCCUUUCAACUGACCGAUGAAUCUUUUUUGUAUGGAACGACCCUCAUCACAGUACCGGGACUGGUUCGUGAGGAACCUGCACGACGCGCUGUCCGGCGCGAGCAGCGCGUCCGUCGCGGACGCGGUCGCCGCGUCCGAGCAGUCGAGAAUGAAGUGCGUCGGGCUGACGAUCGAGACGCGGCCGGACUACUGCCUGUCGCCGCAUCUGCGUCAGGUGGGUUCUAUACAAAAGUUUUUCACCCAUCGCCCGGUUUCAACAUUUGAUCGCGUCUCCUUUCAACUGACCGAUGAACAUUUUUUGUAUGGAAUGGCCCUCAGAUGCUUCUGUACGGGUGCACGCGCCUGGAGAUCGGGCUGCAGUCGAUUUACGAGGACGUCGCGCGGGAUACGAACCGAGGGCACACGGUCGAGGCGGUGCAGAAGUGUUUCGAGCUCGCGAAGGACGCCGGGUUCAAAGUCGUCGUGCACAUGAUGCCGGAUCUGCCCAACGUUGGGAUGGAACGCGACCUGGAGUCGUUUCGCGAGUUUUUCGAGAGCCCAGACUUUCGCACAGACGGCUUGAAGCUCUACCCGACGCUCGUCAUCCGCGGCACCGGUCUGUACGAACUCUGGCGCACGGGGCGAUACCGCAACUACGCGCCCGAUCGCCUCGUGGACCUCGUCGCGCGCGCGCUCGCGCUCGUCCCGCCGUGGGUCCGCGUGUACAGAGUCCAACGCGAUAUCCCGAUGCCACUCGUCACCGCGGGCGUCGAGAAGGGCAACCUCCGAGAGCUCGCGCUCGCGCGCAUGGGCGACCUCGGGCUCCGGUGCCGCGACGUGCGGACGCGCGAGGUUGGGAUCCAGGACAUCCACAGCAAGGUGAAGCCCGAGGAGGUUGAGUUGGUGCGUCGAGACUACGCGGCGAACGGCGGGUGGGAGACGUUUUUGUCGUACGAAGACCCGCGGCAGGACAUCCUCGUCGGGCUGCUUCGGCUUCGGCGGUGCGGCGCGACCGCGGCCGCGACGUCGCCGGAGCUGAGAGGUCAGAAGUGUUCCAUGGUGCGAGAGUUGCACGUGUACGGCAGCGCGGUGGCGGUGCACUCGCGCGAGCGAGGGAAGUUUCAGCACCAGGUGCGUCGUUUUUGUUUUCGCUCUGCGAUGUUUUUUGUUUUUCAGCCACUCCUCGGGUUCAACGUUUGAUCGCGGACCCUUUCAACUGACCGAUGAAUGCGCCUUAAAACAGGGGUACGGCACGUUGCUCAUGCGCGAGGCGGAGCGCAUCGCGCGGCGGGAGCACCGGAGCGCGAAGCUCGCGGUCAUCUCCGGCGUGGGGACGCGGCAUUACUACCGGAAGCUCGGGUACGAGCUCGAGGGACCGUACAUGGUGAAGACGUUGCGAUGAUCGAUGCACGGUAGCGCGCUAGCUAGUUGACUUAGGAGAACGGCGAUAAAUAAAAAAAGUCGCAAACGCACGAAACGGCCCGUCCGAGAACGCGCUCGGUCAACUCUCGCAUUUCCCGAUGCGCCGCGCGUCGUCGUCGUCGUCGCGCCGUCCCCCCGGCGGCGGGCGGGGACGACGAGGAGGCGACGUGGACAUGGUCGCGGCGGCCGUGGCGCUGCAGGAUCACCUCGCGCGGUCGCUCAAGAUGGGCGCGCCGCGCGUGCGGCCGACCGCGCCGCGGCGUCGCGACGACGUUCUACUAGACGUCUCGUCGUCGUCGGGACGUCUUCCCCCCCGCGCCCGUCGCGAGAACGCGGACCCGAACGCGUCGCGCGCCGCCGCCGCCGCCGUCGGGCGCGACGACGGAUGGCGCGCGACGCGAGACGCCGCCGCCGCGAAGCCGUGGACGAACGACGAGGACGACGCGAGCGCGACGCAGGCGAUGCCUCGUCGGCGCCGUCGCCCGACCCUCGCGGAGCGCGCGGGAUUCGUCCCCGCGCCGCCUCCGCCGCUGACGGAGGCGGAGUGGGCUCGCGCGCACGCGACGUCGAAGAAACGCGCGGAGUAUCCGCAGUGCGAGGCGUCGUGCGCGAUAUGCCUCUCCGCGUUCGGCGGCGCGAGUCAGGUGUUGCUGCCGUGCGCGCACAUCUUCCACGAGCGGUGUUUCGAAUCUUUCGAGCGGUUCGCCGGCGAUUCGUCGGCGUCGUACCAUCGGUGUUGUCCCAUCUGCCGCGCGAGCGCGCACGAAAAGCGGCGCAUUCGCGACGGCGCGGCGUCCUGGCGUCGCCGCGCGGCGAUCAAGAUCCAGACCGCGUGGCGGCGGCGCCGGUGCGUGCGAUGGUACGCGAGGGUGCGCGCGUCGAUCCCUCCGAGCGAUCCGAUCGCGAAGAGGGCGUGGUUCGCGGACAAAGUGCGCGACGUCGUGCGGGAGGACGUCCGCGCGAUGCGAGACGUCAGGAGAGACGCGGAGAAGCUGUUCGAGGCGAUCGCGGCGAGGAAGGGCGAGGCGUACGUCGCGCCGUCGUACCUUCUCGACGGCAGCGACAGCGACGAAGUUGCAGGAGACGACGACGACGGGGACGGGGACGACGCGCAGCUGUACUCCGACGUGCAGCUGUCGCUCGCGUUUGAACACGCCGCGCGCGAGGAAGCCGCGGAGGACGCGGCGGCGGGCGACGACGGCGUGGAUUGGGCCGCGGUGGAGAGAACGACGAGCGAUCGUGCGCAGGCGGACUGCCCGAUAUGCUUCGCGGCGCUGCGACGGAGUCGAGAAGAAGACGACGCCGGCGACGGCGGCGACGCGCGGCAUCGCGUCGACGCCGCGCCGCUCGCGCUUCUCGACUGCUCGCACUGUUUCCACAUGAAGUGUCUCCGAGCGUUCGAGGCGUACAACAGCGCGGUCGGGCGCGCGCGGACGUGCCCGAUUUGCCGCGGCGAGUACAAGCGUCGCGCGGUCGCGUAGAAGAAGUGGUAGCGCGUUAACAUAGUCUACGUAUAUGACGAGUAGUCCUUCGUCGAUCCGCGGUCGUAGACCGGUGUCGUCGCGGCGUUCGUAACCUUAGGGCCGUUCUAUACAAGCGAAUGUCGAGGUGGAGUUGAAAGGCGUCAGUUGGAGUUGAAAAGCGUCGAAGGCGGGGAUUGAAAGCGAGGGAUGGGCGGAGAGAUGCGCCGGCGAAAGUCCUUAAGGAUCGGCGUCCACCUCGCGAACGCGGUCGUAUGGGGACCAGUGUAUGGGACGCGCCUUAUUUUCGUUCGUUCGCGUCGUAUCGCGCCCCCCUCACCAUUCACCCGACGCGACGUCGUCGUCGUCGUCGUCGUUCUUCGCGUCGUCGUCGUCGUCGUCGUCGUCGUCGUCGUCGAAUCCGUGCCACAGCGCCUCGUCGUCGUCGCUGCCGUCGUACGCCGCCGACUUCCUGUGCGCCGCCGUCGGAUACGUCUCGUCGAACUCCUCCAUCGUGAAUUCCUCCUCGUCCGGCGCGUGCGCGGCCAGGAGGUACUCGAACGUCUCCCUCUCGCCGUGCUCGAACGCGCUCACGACGCAGUCGUCGUCGAUCUCGCACCCGUUCUCGAUCGCCCAUCGAAGGACGCGGAGAUGCCCGCGCCUGGACGCCUCGAACGUCACGAACGGAUCCCACGCGCACCCGACGGAUCGGAGGUACUCCAGGCACUCCAAGCUCCCCGCCUUCGCCGCGGCUUCGCAGGAGGACAGCGCGGGGUCGUCGAACCACGUAUCGUGCGCGUCGUACGUCGUGAGCCAUCGAAGGACGUCGAGGUGGCCGCCGCGCGCGGCGGCGGCGGCGACGCCGUGCUGCCACUCCAUCGGCGUGCCGCCGGGGGGGGCGACGUCGGGGGCGCCCUGAGAGACGAGCCCGGAGUCUUGCUCUCGGACCCACCGCAGGACUUGGAGUUGCCCGCCGCGCGCGGCCGUGCGCGCGACGCUCGUGAAGUCGAAUCCUUCGCUCUCGUGCGUCGUGGAGAAGCGCCCGAGCGCGUGGAACACGAUGGGGACGCCGCAGCGGCCGCACGCGCAGUCUUGUCCGCGCUCGGCGACGACGUGAACGGGCGACGCGUGACCGGCGACGUAUCGCACCACGUCGAGUCGUCCGCGCCGCGCGGCGCGCUCGCACGUCUCCCAGCGAAGGACGCGGUCGCCCUGCGUCUCGAGCGCCCAUCGCAGCGUCGCGACGUCGCCGUUCUCGGCCGCGAUGUGGCGCACGCGGUCGACAUCGAUCGGGCAGCGCAAGCGCGUUCGCGCGUGCUUCAGCACGGGCAGGUUCCCCCGCACGGACGCGCACGCCUCGGCGACGGACUCGGUCCACGGGCACCCGUCCUUCUUCGCCCACGACAGCAUCGCGACGGAGCCGACGAAGUCCUUCACGCGGAGGUCGGCGCGCCGCGCCGGCGCGCGAGCUCGCGCGGCCUCGCGCGCGCCCUUGGAGACGCGCGCGAAGAGGAACAGCGACGUCGGGUCGAGCCCGGAGAGGACGAGCUCGAGGACGUCGGAGGGGAGGACGCCGAGCCUCGGCCCGAGCGAGGACGGCGGCUCGGAGGUGUAUCGCCCGCUGCGCGUCUUCAUGCGCGCGGGAGCGAGACGGCGGCGCGAGAGCGCGGGGCGUGGCGCGCGCGCGCGGAGGAGGAGUGCGCGCGUCCGCGCGUCUCGCUUCCGGAAGAGGGACAAGAGCGAGAAGAGUUUCCUCGACGCGGCCGCCAGCUGUGCUCGAACACUACAGAAACAGAAGGACUAUCCUAUAGACUAGGCUAUCUACUCUCACCGACAACGACUCGUGGAUGCUCGCGAGCGUCUCCUGAUCGGCGACCUCGCGGUGGCGCGCACCUCGGGAACGUACGCCGCGCUCGUCCCUCGCGCGGACGGCGCUGGUAUGGACGACAGCGCGAGCGACGCGACGCCGCGCGUCACGUCGUCGUCGUCGUCGUCGUCGUCGCCGUCGUCGUCGCUCGUCUCUACUCCUUCGUUCGCUCGGAUCGCCGCGACGAGUUCGACGAGCGCUGGAUUCGCGUCGCGCCACUCUCGAUGAUCCAUCUUCAGCGUGUCCUCGUCGAUCCACGCGCACUCGUCCUUGCUGCGAGUGUCGUCCUGCCACCCGUCGUGUUCGACCUCUUCGCCGUCGUGCUCGAACCCGACGACGAGUCUCAAAUCGCUCCAUCGCGCGACGCGCAGCCUCACCCUCGACACGUCGAACGCGUCGCCUUCGAUCUCGAACGCGGUCUCGAACGCGCCCUUCACGAAAUGCUGCGCGUACACCACCACGCCGUCGCCUUCGUAGCGCGGCGUCUCUUCUUCGCGCGCGACGAGAUCGUCGGAACCCAACUCGAGCUCGCCGAGCGUCUCCUCCUCGUCGCCGACGACUUUCGCGAACUCGAUGACGUUCUGGUCCGCGAACUCUGGAGCGUUGAGAUGCACGAGGUCGUCGAUGUCGUAAAACUCUGGCACGCGCAGACGCUCUGGAAUGUUCCACGCGUCGUCUACGUCGCCGCCCCACCCCACGCCCAGAGAGUGCACGCAUCGCGUGAACAGCGCCUCGCCCAUCUCCAACCAGAAGUGUCCUUGCUCCUGCGUGAUCGUUCCCACGACGUGCUCGCCGCCGUAGCGCGACGCGCGCGCGACUAUCCGCGUCAUGACGCGGAUACAGUACGUCGUCUACCGCAUCUCGCUCAGCCCGCGCCGCGCCGCUUCUUCACGGGGAAACCCGGCGGUGCGUGGCGAUGUGUCGUCGUCGGACGACCUCGGACGGUUCGAAGAGGACGAAACUUUAGCGAAGGUUCAACUCCGGUCCGUCACUCACACGCGCACGCGCACGCGCCGGACGAUGCCUUCGACCGCGCCGCCCACCGCGCGUCGCCGCUAGAAGGACCAACCCUCCUCCCGCCUCGCCUCCGCCCGGCGGCGGGCAUGUCGUCCUCGCACCACGACGCGCGCCCGCCGCACUCGCGCCUCUUCGUCGUCUGCGGCCGCGGCGUGCGCGAGGACGAGCUCGAGAGUUUCUUCGCCGCGCACGGCGAGAUCCAGUCCGCGCGCGUCGUCGAGGCCAAGGGCGUCGCGUACGUCAAGUUCGCGCUCGCGUCGUGCGCCGCGCGCGCGGUCGAGACCCUGCGCGACGCCGGCGACGGCGACGGCGACGGCGGCGACGGCGGCGGCGAGGUGGGCGCGUCGUGCCGAGCGUUCCUCGGCGGAUGCGAGCGAUCGCUCCGCGUCCUCGUCGCGGACGACGGCGGAGGGAACGACCGCGCGACGGCGGCGGCGGCGGCGGCGACGAACAGCGGCGGCGGCGACGGCGCGUCCGUCUCCGAGCGCGAGCGCGGCGGCGGCGGCGACCUCGCGCUCGACCCGGACGACGACCCGCCGCGGUCGCGCCUGUUCGUCGUGUGCCCGAAGGGCACGACGCACGACGUCGUCUCCGGCGCUUUCGCGGAACUUUUACGCGGAUUCGCGGAUCCGUCGGAGGACGCGGAUACCGUCUUGACCAGCGUGCGCGUCGUCCCGCACAAGGGCGUCGCGUUCGCGAAGUUCGCGCGGUCGUCCACGGCGCUGCGGUGCAUGGAGGCGGUCGCCGCGAGCGGGACCCUGGGCGGCGUGCGCGUAAAGUGCAUGCUCGCGGAGCGAAAGUCGACGACGGCGGCGGCGAUGGCGGCGGCGGCGGCGGCGACGGGAGGCGCGACCCCCGCGGGGUCCAACAGCAGCCAGCACACCCCGGCCGCGUCCGGCGGGUCCGCCCGCGAUGCCGCCGCCGCGGGGGGCGCGGGCGCGGGCGCGACGUCCGCCUCCCGGGUUCGACCCGCGAGCAGGUUCACGCGCGCGGGGAGCGAGGACCGCGGCGGCGGGCUCUCGCCGAAGCGUCGCCGCGGCGGCCUCGGCGGGAGGAAGCCGCCGUCGCCCGCGAGCAGCGCGGAGAGCGGCGGGUUGGGCGGAAGCGGGAAGCAGCAGCACUCGUCGUCGCAUCCGCGGAGACAAGGGAGCGCCGGCGGGCCGUCGCCGCGGCCGCCGCCGCCGGACGGCGCGCCGCCCGCGCCCGCGCCCGCGGCGCCCGCGGCGGUUCCCGGCGGGGUGUUCUUAGGCGAGGCGUGGAUGGGCGCGGGGUCGGGCGCGAUGCGCGGGACGAUCGUGUUUCACCCGGAGAUGGCCUCGGGACCGGGGCUUCACGGCGGAGGCGAGUCGCACUCGCCCGCGAGCUCGGGCGGCGCGGCGCCGUCGCCGCAGCCGCGCCCGCCGCCACCGCCGGCGGCGUUUCCCGCGGGCGUCGUCGGCUAUCCCUUCCACGGCGGGUUCCCGCCGGCGCCGGCGUACGCGUACGGGUACCAACCGAUGCCGUGGCCGGGGAUGGGGAUGGGGAUGGGGAUGCCGCCGGUUCCGGCGCCGCCGCUGCCGCCCGGGGCGCCGCCGUCGCCGGGCGACAGCGGCGGUCCGUCGCCGCCGCCGCCGCUCCCGAGAGGCGCGCCGCCGCCGUCGCGCCGACUUCACCGACAUCCUCAAUCGCACGCUCAGCACGCUCAACCGCCUCAGCCUCGACCGUCGCACCGCGUCUUCGUCGUCCUCGACAAGUCCGCGACGCGAGAGACGCUCCUCGAGACGUUCAACGCGAGGGAGUGCGCGGGCGUGGAGACCAUCUCGCUGAAGACGGACGCCGCGGGGAAAUCCCGGGGGUUCGCCUACGUCACCUUCGGCACCGCGGAGGACGCCGCGGACGCGAUCGCGCGCGUGGACGGCGCGGAGAUUCCGCCGGGAAGCGGGAAGAGAGCGAAGGUGAUGCCCGCGGAGGAGCCCGGGUCGCGGCGAGGCGGCGGCGGCGGCGGCGGCGGCGGGACGAUGACGACGACGACGACGACGACGACGACGACGACGAGACCCGCCGCGAAGGAUGCGCACGACGAAGACGACGGCGGGGGGUUGCGGCGGCAGCGACCGGACGACGACGACGCGCAGAGCGUGCAGCCGCCGCCGGGGAAGUACUCGCGGCUCAUGGACAGCGGCGUGCGAGGCGAGGGAGGCGGCGGCGUGGGCGGCGGCGCGGGCGAGGACGAGGACGACGGCGAGGACAUCGAGGACGGACCCGAGGCGGCGUCCGGCGGCGGCGCGCGAAACAUGCACCCCGGCGACAGCAGCGGCGACGACGAGGACGACGACGACGACGACGACGCGAAGGCGCCGAGGGGCGAGACCGCCGACGUCGCCGGCGAAGACGAAGACGAAGACGCCGACGCCGACGCCGUCAAAGAAGAGAUCGACGAGACGACGACGGCGACGACGACGACGGUGGAUCUGGAAGCCCCCGGCGACGUCGCGCUCGCGAUGCGCGCGGUAUCCCUCGCGCCGCCCGCGCCGCCCGCGCCGCCCGCGCAUCCCGCGCAUCCCCGACCCGGAUCGCUCUUCUUCUCGCUGUCGCUGCCGCUCCCCGCGCACGCGCUCCGGCACGUCCUCGCCGCGCACGGGUCGCUGACGUCGCUCGAGAUGCGCGACGACGACCGCGGCGGCGCGGCGACGUACGAAGAUCCGAACGACGCCGCGGCGGCGUGCGAGGCGUUGGACGGAACCGACGUGUUGGGGAUCGCGCUCAGGGUGUCGUCCGAGCCGAUCGCGGCGGAGGAGGAGGGCGAGAGAGAGGACGACGCGGACGAGGAUGGGGCGAAAAAUAAGGAGAAGGACGACGCGGGGGCGGGCUCGGACGGAGAGAGGGAGAAAGAGAGGACGAAACCUCCGGCGGCGGCGGCGGCGGCGGCGGCGGCGGCGGCGCAACCGAAGAAACGCGCGCGGCGAUAGAGAAACGACCGACGAAAAACAAAACAAAGCGCAACUUCGACUACUCCGGUCGCGCUUCCCCGUCGCGACGACUCUUCUCUUCGACUUUAACCCCUCCGACGAGCGCCCACGCGCGAUCGAGCUCACGCUGCAGCGUCUCGGAUCGAGCCCUCAACGCCUCGGACCUCUUCUUUUCCACCGUCGCCGCCGCCGCGUGCGUCGUCAUCUCCAUCUCGAGCGCGCGGACGCGGGCGUUCGCCUCGCGCAGCGCGAUGUCGAGAACGUCCACGUUAAGCUCGCGGCGAUCCAGGAGGAUUUCUUUGCCGUCGCCGCCGUCGCCGUCGCUUAUCCGCGUUCGGAGGGUUCUACGGCGCCCUCGCGAACGGGUUCAUCACCGUCUCGCACGUGAUAGGGCUGCCUCGAUUCUUUUGGUUGCUCGCCACGGAUUCUCGGAAGACGCCGCCGGAGGUGUACGAGGACGGGAGGGAGCCGCCGGGAGCGACGACGGAGGAGGUGGAGGAAGAAAACGAGAAGGCGAAGGCGAAGGAGGAGGAGACGGAAGAGGAAGAAGAAGCGGACGCGAAAGCGUCCGCCGUCCAAAAAGUGUUGUGAGACGACGUAAUGGUUCCCAUACGACCGCGUUGGCGUGGUGAACGCCGUUCCUUAAGGACUUUUCCCGUCGAUUCUCUCCGCCCAAAGACAUAGUCGCGUCGUGUACCUUACGUGCUCGUCCGUCGUCGUCGACCCUACGCGCGUCGUCCCAGCGUCGCCACCCGCGGCAGCGCGCGCGCGCCCGGGCUCCGUUUCCCCCCGCUCCCCGGCCGCGGCGACUCUCUCAGAGCGCGCGCCACCGCCGCCGCCGCCGCCGACGCCGCCCCGCUCCUCUCCGACGCGUCCCUUCGCGCCGCAGCCCUCGCCGCGGGCCCGACCGUCCCGCCGACCGUCCCUGGCAUCCCCGUCCCUGGCAUCCCGAUCCCCGGCGUCGCCGCGCCCAGCCCACUCGCGGCGCUCACCGGCGCGCGCAUGAGCUCCUGAUACAAGUUAUACCCCGUCGCGCACGCCGUGACGAGCAGCGGACCGAGCACCGCGCCCUGCAGCGCCGGGUCGAACACGCACAUCCCGCCGACGACGGACAGACCGACGACGUACGGGUGCACGACGCGUAUCUCGCUCUGGUAGAUGUCGAUGUCGACGAAUAUCAGCGUGAUCCAGUGCAUCAACACGAGCGCGGCGGCUUUCGCGCCCUCUCCCUUGGCGAGGAGUCCGAGCGCCGCGGGGAGAGAGACGGACCACGACGCGAGCAGCGGGAGGAUCGCGGUGAGCCCGGACGCGAGCGUGGACGUGUACACGAAGUGCACGCCGAACGCGCGGAACGUGACCCACGUGAACGCCGCGUGAAACAGCGCGAGCUUGACGCACGACACGAAGACGCCCCUGACGCCUCUCGUCAGCGACUUCACCGCGACCUCCUUGACGUGCGCGUUCACCGGGAUCAGCUCCACGAGCCUCACCGCGGGGUCGGCCUCGCUGUUUAGGAUGUGGAACAACACGGUGAAAAACACGACGGAUUUCAAGACGUAGCUCAGCACGCCGCCGGCGACGCCGAAGACGCUGAAGGACGCCCUCGCGGCCCAGGACGUGACCUGCGCGAUGCCGCGGCCGCCGCCGGCGACGAUGUCCGCGGCGCGGUCUUGGAGCGCGUUUCUCGCGGCGGACGCGACGCGCAGGACGUCGUCCACGGACGCGGACGCGGCGCCCGCGCCGGCGGCUUUUCCUCCGCGUUUUUUGCCGCCGCCGCCGCCGCUGAAGCCGAAGAGCCGCCGGACGCCGCCGCCGCCGCCGCCGCCGCCGCCGCGCGCGCCUCCCGCCCCCUUCGCGCCGCCGCCCGCUCCCGCCGCGAUCUCCGCGCCGACGUCCACGAGGUGCGAGAACGCGCCGGCGACGUCGCCGCCGCGCAGCACGCGCCCGGCUUCCUUCAACCCCGCCGCCCACCGCGACGACGACGCGCCGCCGCGACUCAUCAUCGCGCCGCCGCCGCCGCGUCUCCCUCCUCUUCUCUUACCGUUACCGUUACCGUUUAGACCCCCUUCCUCGCCGCCCGACUCCAUCAGCUCCGCGUACAUCCCCUGCAUGCUCUCCCACAGCUCCGUGACGUUGCACCCGGGGAAGACGUCCUCGAGGUGCGCCUGCGCGUACGUCAGCGCGCGCGGCCACUGCUUCUCCACCGCCUCACUCCACGCCUUGACGCCGGCGUCGACGACGCCGCGCACCGCCGGCGACGAAUACCUGGCGUAUACGCCGCCGCCGCCGCCGCCGCUCGCGGACGAAUACCCGUGCACCAUCGAGCGGUGCGCCUCGACGACCGCGUCGCCGCUCUCGCGCGCGAUGUUCACCGUGAAGAACGUCGCGACGACGGCGAGGAGAAAGACGCCGACGGCGAUGAGCGACGCCGCGACGAUGGGGUUAACGGACGCGAUCAGCGCGCGUCGAAUCUUCGCAUCCGCGGCGAGGUACGCGCGGAAGACGCGCCCGCUGGUUCUGGUUUUUUUGUGACUCGAAAUCGCGCGCCUCGGCGUGGGCGUCGUUUUGGAGGAAGAUGAACCGUCGCGAACGACGGAAGAUGAACCGUCGGCUCUUUCGGGCCCGGGCGCGAUGCACCGCCGCGUGGACGACGCGAUCGCGACGGCGGCCGCCGCCGCGACGAACGCCACCGCGGCGAGCGCGGCGAUCGACGCGGUCAGCGCCCAGUCCCUCGACGCUAGCUUCCACACCUCCAACGAGACGCCCACGGUCGCGAGCCACUUGAAGUGAAACGUCGACGCGGAGGACGGCGCGCGCGCCGUCGCCCUCUUAGUUGCUCUCGCGGCGGCGGCGCGUCUCGACAGCGGCGACGCGGGCGCGGACGCGGGGGCCCGGGCCCCGCGCGUCCCCCCCGCCAGCCCUCCCGACGCCGUCUCGUUCAGAUGACGCGCCGUCGCGGCGUCCAUCGCGCGUAACGCCGCCCUCGCGGGCGCGACGACGACGGACGUCGCGAGACCGAGCAGCGUGUUCUCCGCGAGCGUCCUUCGGAGACGGCUCGCGAGCGCUACUUUUACGUCGCGCAGCGCGAGAGAGACGAGGAGCGCCCAGAGCAUGGGCGACCGGAAGUCCGCGAGGAGGCGCCACAUGAGGACGACGAGGCCGACGCCGAGGAGGAGGAUCGCGUUCCCGACCGCGUUGAAGAGCCCGACGCGGAAGAGCGCCUCGUUGUUCGCCUGCGUCAGCCCGCCGUCGCCCGCCGCGUGAUGCGCGAACGGCGUCGACGGCGUCGUCGUCGCAUUCGAGACGAUCGAGGUCGUCGUCGCGGACGUCGUCGGCGUGGGCGGGAGGUCGAAUCGCACGCCGCCGGCGUCCGCGGCGGCGUCCUCCCCCGCGUCUUCGCUGAGCCGGCGACGCAGCCAUCCCCCGAUGUUGCCGCCGCCGCCGCCGCCGCUCUUCGUCGAGGCGGACGACACGAGAUCCGGGGCGUUGUUGGCGCUCAUCGCACGAUGCGUCGUCGUCGCGCGCGGCGUGGUCUCCGGCGGCGAGAGCGCGCCCGCGGCCUGCCCCGUCGCCCGGCGCGUCAGCACGCUCUCCGGCGUCGUCGUCUCGCGCCGCGCGUGCUGCCGCGCGGCGACCUUCCCCGCGGCGUCGUCGAGCGCCCCCAUCGCGCGCGGCGCUCUGGUGCUACAGUUCAAAAUGCGAGACGAGCAGCUCGCACUCAUCAUCAACGACUCCGCCGGUCUCGUCAUCUUCAGUCGUCACCGCGCCGCGAUCGCGAUGGCGCCGCGGACGAUCAUCGACGCCGGUCCCGGUCUUCACGUCGACGCGCUGCAGAUCACGCCCGAGUACGUCGCGUGCGUCGCGUCCAAGUUCACCGGUCGCCUGUGGCAGGGCUACGUCCGCGCGCGCGCGGUGGGCGACGAUCCAUCAUCAGACGGCGUCGUCGGUCCGUCAGCGUCGUCGUCGGAGGCGACGCCCGCGAAGACGACCGCCGGGAUCGCGACGCUCGCGGCCGUGGGCAACAGCGACUUCGUCACCGGCAACGACGCGGGCGUGAUCGAGCAGUGGCGCGUCGUCGACGGCGCCGUCGCGCGCGUCGACGCCGCGCGCGCGCACGACGGUGCCAUCACCGCGGUCGCGCACGUCGCGCCGUCCUCGCUCGUCACCGGCGGCGUCGACGGGAGACUGCGAUGGUGCGAGCUGACCGCGCUGGACGUCGCGACCGCGACGGUGCAGCGCGCGCACGUCAGCGCGGUCCUCGCGAUCGCGGUGAACCCGAGCGAUCCCUCGCUCGUCGCCACGAGCGGCGAAGACGGCGUCGUGAAGGUGUGGAAGGUGAAGGCGGCCGCGGGAGACGGCGACGGUACAGCUCGCGACAGCUGUCAGCUGUCGGCGGCGCGCGCGGGCGCCGACGUCAGAGACGACAUGGGCAAAGCGCACGCGCUCGCGUGGUGCGGCGACGACGUCCUCGCGGUCGGGUACGAGCGCGGCGAGAUCGUCCUCUUCGAGACGACCGCGCUGGACGCCCUGCGCACGCGCGCGGUCGUGGAGGCGCACGGCGACGCCGUCAGAGGGCUCGCGUGGGACGACGUCGGGAAGCGGCUGGCGUCGUGCGGCGACGACGGCGUCGUCGCGAUUCACGCGGGGGAGGUGCCGCGGUCGACGAGGGAGGCGAAGCGGCACGACGGGGCGUACGUGAGGUGCGUCGCGUGGGGGCGGGUCGAGGGAGGGGGGGAUGGGGAGGACGAGGUGGUCAGCGGCGGGUGGGACGGCGAGGUGAAGGCGGGAUGAUCGUCUCGACGACGAGGUGCGCGCGCGCGUCGUUGGCUAUAAGAUACGCGAUGAUUCGUUUCGAUUCGAUCCGUUUCGUUUAGUUUCGCUCUCGAGUUUUCGUGAUAUUAAAUAACACUCUGAGAGGCUGCGAUCUUGUGUUUUUUGUAUCGCAAAAAAUUCUCUUCGCUUCGUCGCCGCGCGCGCGCGGCCGCGCUCGCGACCGCCCGCGGCGGGACCCCUUUGGGGGGACGCCGCCCGCUUCGCGCCCGGUCGCGUCCCGCGACCGGGCGCAACGUUCCUAAAUCAAUCUCAAUCCGCGUGAGACGUACCUAGUAGCAGUACCGUAAUAAUCAUCCGCCCGAUGCAUGCGGAGGCGUCGGCCGCCUCGCAAACCGCGUCGCCGCCGUUCCGACUCGUCAGUCAUCGUUCG